CAGAAAGAGAGAGAGAGAGAGAGAGAAUCAGGUUUAUUAGCAACAAGGAGAGGCCAGGAUUGCUCACAAAUCUUGAAAAGGGCUGAAACUUAAAACCCUUAUCCUAUCUUCUUCUUCGAUACACCUUCUCGUAUAAAAACUUCAAUUCUCUCCCAUUCUCUCUCUAUAAAUCCUCUUUUUCCUCCAUGUUCUUUCUCUCCAUUUCAUUUCACUGAUGAGCUUCCUUCAUCGCUCCUAUUCUUGAUUGCGAUGGUUUCUCUCAAGUGAGGUUUGAGGUUUUGAGGUUUCUUCUUCUCUUCUUCUUCCCAAUCGGAUUUCCUUUCGUCUUGAAGAAAAUGGCGCCGAGGACUGGGAGGGGGAAAUCGAAUAAAGCCAAGACAGAGAGGAAGAAGAAGGAAGAGAAAGCAUCCGUGCCUUCUCUGGUGGACAUUUAUGUCGUCACUCCUUAUGAUUCUCAAGUUCUCCUCAAGGGCAUCUCUACUGAUAAGAUACUUGAUGUGAGAAGGCUAAUAGCUGUGAAUGUGGAAACCUGCCA